rnacentral:rRNA from 1 species
AUUGAACGCUGGCGGCAGGCCUAACACAUGCAAGUCGAACGAGUGGCGGACGGGUGAGUAAUGUCUGGGAAACUGCCUGAUGGCGGGGGAUAACUACUGGAAACGGUGGCUAAUACCGCAUACCAUCGGAUGUGCCCAGAUGGGAUUAGCUAGUUGGUGGGGUAACGGCUCACCUAGGCGACGAUCCCUAGCUGGUUUGAGAGGAUGACCAGCCACACUGGGACUGAGACACGGUCCAGACUCCUACGGGAGGCAGCAGUGGGGAAUAUUGGACAAUGGGCGCAAGCCUGAUCCAGCCAUGCCGCGUGUAUGAAGAAGGCCUUCGGGUUGUAAAGUACUUUUAGCAGGGAGGCGUUACCCGCAGAAGAAGCACCGGCUAACUCCGUGCCAGCAGCCGCGGUAAUAC